rnacentral:rRNA from 1 species
UACGUAGGGGGCAAGCGUUGUCCGGAUUUAUUGGGCGUAAAGAGCUCGUAGGUGGUUUGGUAAGUCGGAUGCGAAAUCUCCAGGCUCAACCUGGAGGGGUCAUUCGAUACUGCCAUGACUAGAGGUCGGUAGGGGAGUGUGGAAUUCCUGGUGGAGCGGUGAAAUGCGCAGAUAUCAGGAGGAACACCCGUAGCGAAGGCGGCACUCUGGGCCGAUUCUGACACUGAGGAGCGAAAGCGUGGGGAGCGAACAGG